GAAGGCGCUCGAUGAGCAAGUAAAUAUGGCUGGUUAGAUGCAUCGAACGCAUUUGCGAAUCGUGAGUCGAUUCGUACUCUUCGGUUGUUAAUUUUUUGUGACUUUCUCACGUGUGGUAAUGUUUCAUUUGUGUGUUUCUAAAAUAGUAAUAAAUUUCAUUCAAAGUUUCUCAGUAUACAACGAUUAAGCGACGAACGACGAAAUAAAGAUAACGUUCCGAGUAUUGUAACGAACGUUCCGGAAGGUAGUUCAUCGUAUAACUGAAUUUUUACACGAUCGGUCGUGUUUUCGAGAAAAUAAUUAUCAUAAAAGUAAAGUUUUAAUUAUAUAAGUAUGACCGAGGAACAUCAAUUGCCUUCUGACUCUGAUGAAGAUGAUGAAGAUUAUGUUCCUGAUGGUGCAGACAGUGAGCCUGUGUCUGAAGUAGAAUCUGAAGGUGAUGCAGAAAGUGGUCCUGAGGAUGAAAACGAUGAAAACAAAAGAGAAACAACAAAGAAAAGAGGAAGAAAAAAGAACAAAGUCGUAAAGUCUAAAAUUAAGAAGCAUAGAAGAACAAGAAAAAAAAUAGAAGACGAGGUUGAUGAAAAGCUAGAAGAGGAAGAGGAAGAAGAAGGAUCGAAAGAAAAAAAAGAACUUACAGAAGAAGAAGAGAAAAAGAGAGCUGAUUCUCUUUGGGCUGACUUUAUGAAGGAUACAGCGACGGUACCUAAAUCAAAGCCACAAAGUGCGUCAAAUAAACCAAAAGAGAAAUCGCCACCCAUAGAAAAGCCAAAAGUAGAAGAAAAAGUAAAGAUAACUAAAGUAUUUGAAUUUGCUGGUGAAGAAGUGAAGGUUGAGAAAGAAGUUUCGAUAGACUCGGCAGAAGCAAGACUAUCUUUAUCCUCCGCUGAAAAUUCUGAGAAAACAGGAAACCCUGGUCCUCCUGCAGGAAGAGGAUCCGGAAGGGGUAAAGGUUUUAAACGGGCUGGUUUGGGAGGUAUUUCUUCUGUCCUUGGUCAAUUAGGAAAAAAAGCGAAAAUUAGUACUUUAGAAAAGUCCAAGUUGGAUUGGGACAAUUAUAAGAAACAAGAAAAUUUAGAGGAAGAGAUUAGUACUCAUAACAAAGGUAAAGACGGAUAUUUAGAACGUCAAGAUUUCUUACAGAGAGCAGAUUUGAGACAGUUCGAAAUUGAAAAGCAGUUACGUAAUGCGAACAGACGCAGUACACGGUGAAUUUAUAUUUUCAUGUAUACGUAUCUUUUCCCUAACAAUGAGAACCAGGGAUGGUAUCGAGAUAAAUACCUUAUUAGACUUGCCAAUUGUCGGCGCUUAUAGCACCUAUUUAAUCGAAUUGUUUAAACUCUUAUCAAAUAUCUCAUGCCAUAUGUAAAAAUGUGAUUGCCUCGCUUGGCUUGACAAUCGACUGGAUCUGUUUAAGAAGCGGUUGAGAGCCAAUUCUGUGAGAAGAGACUGAUCAUUCCAAUGUAUUGAAGAUAAUAUAGUAUGUUACGUAAUAGUUUAAUUUACCAUCCGCGAGCUUCGUCUCGAUUCAUUAUAUCACAGAACUUCGCAUCGAAGCAGGAUGUUUGAAGCUUGGUGCUUCAGAGACCGACGAUAUACAUAUAUUUUAACAAUAAACAAGCUCCAGAGGUGUUUUUUUUUUAUUCCAUUUCAAUGGAGAAAGGAUGAUUGAUGCAGUAUAAAUAGUAUAAAUCAAUUUUUUAUCUUUAACCAAAUUAAUUAAAUUCGCCGAAAAUACAAAAUGUAUGAUCAUCGGUAUAAGUAUAGCAGCAAAUCGAACACUGGAACAAGAAUAUCACGCUAACAAAAUGAAGUUGUUCUUGCAACCUGCUAAAAAAACCAGCAAGAAAUCUGCCGAAAAAACGACCGAAAGAAAAAGGAGAAACGAAAGAGUACGAAGGAACUUGUUCGAGUCGUGAGCUUCUCCAAAAAAGGGUUCCUUUUAUCGAUGCGUUAAACGUGGCCAUGAAAACAUCUCUGACAGCGUCUCUGACAAUAAAAUUGAAUUAAAAUCCACUUUGUGACUUAUCACGAUGGCGGAAUCAUGGCGGAAGCAAGCAAAUGUUCGCUGCGGGUCGAAUUAAUUAACCGACAUGUUGAGUAUGUAAUCGGUUUUGAAUGAAGAUGUCCGUGAAACGCGAGUCACAAAUUUUUAAGUAUCGGAGGGCACGUUGCUUUUUCUCGAGCGGAUCGCAACCGCGAUCUCGAAGGUGUCGCCGACGUCGUAAAACCGAAUUAUGAUACACCGUGCGAUGAAGAUAAAAGAAGAGGGCGAAAGAGGAAGCCGCGCGAAGCGGAGGUGGAACGGUGCGUGGAUUGUUGAACGUGUGUGCAAAACGGCAGCAGGAUUAUCGACGCCAGUCUGGCGGCCGUUAGUUGUGGCCUUGCCAUCGGCAGUUUAUUCACGAACCGGAAUAUCUGUUCGACCGUACCUUCGGCAACCUCCAUACGUUUCAAAACACCUCGAGCGAGCCUCUCUUCUUUUGCGGAGAGAGAGUGCACUCGUUACUUUCCCGAUUCCUUGACGAAACGAUGCAUGUGCAUACACGGCGAGAUUAUUUCGAUCGACGGAUUAAGUACCAUGCUGCUGCGGAACUCGUCUUUGUAGAAUAGAUAGAGCCGGUUUGGACAUAGUUUCGUUGAUGUUUUUGACGGUAGUUGAAUAUAUGCAUGACGAUAUAAAAGAAGUUUUGUUAGCUUGUUUUUAAAGAAUUUUUAAACGAAAUAAGAUACAUAUGUCGUUUAUCGAUAAUUUACUGUUUCAUUAUAAUCAUGUGUGAAGUACGAUAAUGACGAAAUGGCCAUCUCUAGCUGCUUUAUAAAUGCGUGCUCGUUCAGUGACAAUUUUUAUAAUUUUUUUACGUAAUUCCUAUGUUAUUUGUUCAUUUUUCUAUCGACAAUAAAGAAAUUUCUUCCUAAAUUUUUCAUUGUUCGAACAACAAUAGUCGAACGAUAAUAAAACUUGUAAUUUUCCUUCUGUUUGCACAGCGAGUAAUUAAUUUUUUAAUAAAUUGUUUAACGAUAAGUUUUUAUUAUCGUAACAAGUUAUUGAGGCAUCGAAUGUUGUACGAUAAAAUUCGAUGAUACGUACUACACGAUUGUUGCCAUAAAACUGCCAUCACGCUAAUAGAAAACAAAUGUAGAAUAAGGUAGAGUUCUAUUUAAGUGCUUCAUUUUUAUAUUUGUUAAAUUUUGUUUUAUAAAACUCUGAUAGAAGACUGAAUAUCAGAAGAUAAUGCUAGUACUAUAUCAACGACGAGGAAUGUCCAUUAGAGUCUUAUAAAAAAUUAUUGUAUUACAGUACGUAGAUAUUGAGAGUGCUUUGUUUCUCAUUAAACAAUUUGAGGGAAACGAUCAACCAACCUUCUUCCUCAUUUUUGUUUAAAUGCCCGUGGCAAUAAAUGAUAAUAGGUCGUUAUUCGUCAUAAACGUGUCCAUCGAUAAAACGUUAAUCAUAUGCUUGGUUAUAAUUGCAAUCUGGAAAGAAAUUAUUUGAAUAUAUUAUAUCGAUGAAAAAUAAUUUGAUGUAGUAAAUGUGAAUUAUAUUCGUUAUUUUCUCGCUGGUUUGUCGUGUCAAUAUACGUGCAUACGUGGUAAGAUUAGCACGACCGUUGAACCAAUUAUUUAUAUUUGAAGAAGAUAAUAACUGUUAUUAAAGGUGUUAUUUUGUACGAUAAAGUAGAAUUUUAUUUGUUUUGUGGUGUAGAUUAUAAUUGGCUACACAUUCGGAAUACGGCUAGUCCGAAGAUAUUGUAAAUGAAAGUGUACUGAUUUAGAUAUUGUUAGCUAUAUUUAAUGUUUUUAACAAUAGAGGAUAUAGAAUUUGAUUAAUUUAAAUAGUAACGAAAAUUAGGUUUAUCGUAGUUUGAUAAAUAUAUACGAUACUUAGUAAAUAUUUGAUAAUUCUAUUAAGCAUUUGCAAUUUAACGAGGCUAAUGGAUAAAAGAAUAAGUUGGGCUUAGCAACGACCCAUAAAUUUUUUAGUGAAAUUAAUACAGCAAGAUCUAAUUAGAAACGAGUUUUCGAACAUUUCAAAUGUAGGUAGCAUCUCUUGCUUUUGAUAAUUAAAACUUUUUGUAUUUCUACUAAAUUUUGUAAUCGAUAGAGAGUAAAAUACUGUUACAAUUAAUUGUUUCUGAAAGGAGAAUUUUUAUAUUGACUUUGCUGUACCAAUGUAAAGAAAAAAUAUAGUUACUUCGCGGUAACUUCUAACAUUGUCUCAAGUCUAAGGACUCCAACCCUGUAGACAGUAACUUAAAAUAACCAAGCCCUUAAACACCUAAAGAAAAGAUGUUCAUAAGCGUCCGAAUACUAUUAUUAGUUGCCCAAAAGUCUUCUGGCGGAAUUCAACGGUAGUGUUGCUGAAAUCCGCGCGAAACGAGACGUUCCAGGCGUCUACGUUUAAAUUUAAACUCGUUCCAAACGCUCCCUAACAAUUCCUUCAGGACAUUUCGUCGGAACGCGCGUAUUGCGAUAAUCAACAUAUAGACACGUACACGUGAACGUGCUUUAUUACGGGCAUUGUUAUGAAGUGUUAAUAAUUAAGAGUCGGCUGGGCUUUACGCGAAAACCAUUACCGUCUAUUUUUAAGCGUCGCGAAACGAGGCUUCAAUGCGUUCACGAACGCCAUAAUGGAUCCGCGUGAAAGGAUAUUCUUUGUGUUCUUUAUUGGGCAAACUGUAACGAGCGGCGGACAUGUUACGCGCGCUUUAUAACGCAUUGUGAAAACCGUCUUCGCGUUUUUUCGACGACUAGAAAGAGAACUUUGAGCCCCGAGGUUUCGCGGAUGAUAAUUACGGUAAAAGGGAAUUUCUGCAGUUUUCGUGGUGGUAAGAGCGCGAUGGACACGAAGAAAAAGGAAAAGCUCCUCCCAUCCUGUGUUUUAUCGAAUAACAAAUUACAAAGGGACGGCUGAUAAUAAAACCGUGCACGGCGAGUCCAAAGUAAAUUACACACGGUUGAUUGCACGGAUGAUCUAAGAGCAAAUUUACGGGAACGGAUCGGGGGGAGGGCUGUUAUUUCGUAUAAAAGAUCGGGACAUUACACAUUCAGCAAAGAAAUUAUAAUAAAUGCAUAGAGGGAAAACGCGGCUCUUCGUUGCGUGUUUUGUUAAGGUCGUUUAAUUCUGUUCCGGCUCCGGAAAAUUGCUCGUAAUUCUUUUCUCACGGAGGAAGGAUAAGCUGAUGGAUCACCGCAGGAAUUAUAUACAGUUAUAGGUUUGAUCUUAGUACCUUAUAAUUAAUAACGUUGCCAUAAAGAAUUGUUAUGUACGAUAAAGAGAUAGACGAACGAGUUUAGUAUCGCAAUUAUAAGAAAUAUAUAUGAGGAACUAGAAUUUUUAAUUUGUAAAUUAGAGAGAAUUUUAUUCUACUGAUUAAUAUCUAUUGAGAUAAGAUUUAACGAAGACAUUGUUCAAAACGCUAGACCCUUGUGGUAACGCAAGCAUUACAUUUAAUAGUGACAGCUAUAAUUGAAAUAAGGAAUUGUUCAGGUCAUUUUUGAUGCACCGCAGCUACGAUUCGAUCUCAUCUUCGUUUAAUAGAUGAUAAUAUAAAUAAACAAGUGUAAAUAAAUAAGUGAGAAAACGAAAA